AGUCUAAGGUAGGUCCAGGUGUUCAGUCUAAGGUAGGUCCAGGUGUUUCAGUCUAGACUAAGGUAGGUCCAGGUGUUUCAGUCUAGACUAAGGUAGGUCCAGGUGUUCAGUCUAAGGUAGGUCCAGGUGUUUCAGUCUAGACUAAGGUAGGUCCAGGUGUUUCAGUCUAGACUAAGGUAGGUCCAGGUGUUCAGUCUAAGGUAGGUCCAGGUGUUCAGUCUAAGGUAGGUCCAGGUGUUUCAGUCUAGACUAAGGUAGGUCCAGGUGUUUCUCUAACAGACUAAGUCUUGGAGGUAGUUCUCAGUAGGAUCGUGUGCAGGGUUCAGGGUUAAUAAACAUGAAUCAGAGCUUGAUAUCUGAACUAUGUAGUAGUUCAACACAUGCA